rnacentral:rRNA from 1 species
AUACGGAGGGAGCAAGCGUUGUUCGGAAUUACUGGGCGUAAAGGGCGCGUAGGCGGCCUUGUAAGUCGAGUGUGAAAGGCCGGGGCUCAACUCCGUGCACUGCAUUCGAUACUGCUUGGCUAGAGAGAGGUAGAGGCGAGCGGAAUUCCCGGUGUAGCGGUGGAAUGCGUAGAUAUCGGGAAGAACAUCUGCGGCGAAGGCGGCUCGCUGGGCCUCAUCUGACGCUGAAGCGCGAAAGCGUGGGGAGCAAACAGGAUUAGAAACCCCAGUAGUCC